ensembl:miRNA
UUAUAGAUAGGUGUGAGCCACCAUGUGGUUGCUGGGAAUUGAACUCAGGACCUCUGGAAGUGCUCUUAACCACUGAGCC